UUGAUCCAUGUUCCGAUAACAUUUGGAGAGUCUAGAAAAGCCGCAUGGCUUUUAUUUAUUUUUUAUUAUUAUUUAUUUAUUUUACCCCCAUUCAAGUUAGCAGUGGGCUAAACAGGAAGUUCGAAGUCUACACAGUGGACGCUAUAACGCUACCACCAGCUAGAGUUUUGGCGGCGUAAUUGCAGAACAACGCAGACACCAACACAAGUAUAAAAGCGUGGCCUCUUACGGCACAGAAGUAUAAAUCAGAUCUCGAACAUUCAAAAUCUUUACUGAACGUUGUUUCACCAAAUGAGCGUGCUCCUGAUGAGACUGCGGAUGGCGUCCUGGGGGUCUGCUCACUGACCUGGAUCAGGGCAUCCGUGAGCUCCUGGAGAGUCUGUGGCGCAACCUGGCGGCGUUGGACGCACCGAUACAGAACGUCCCAAAGGUUGUCAGUUAGAUUCCGGUCAGGGGGACGUGAGGGCCGGACAGCGGCGUCAAGCAGUCGAUCGCAACUAUUAACAUAAAUUCAACAAACUGCAGUGAACUCGGCGCGACUUGCAGUUUUGACCAAUCACCGCAACCUUUCCGCUAAUCUGACCUCUCAUCUCAGUUUCCUGCUAAACGCUGUCCCACGUCAGCGAACUGACUUCAUUGUUCAGAAGACGCAGCAGACGUGUGUGAGACACUGAGACACAGGCUGCUGCAUCCGCUCAGCUGCAGGACCAUUUAAACCAGCUGCAGCUGGGUCAGGGUCAGAAUCAGGAUCAGGUUGGAGAAGGGUCGGGUCGGAACUCAUUUUUUCUAUUUGAAUAAUGAUUUUGUUGAGGAAAGGGGCUGAAAAAAGAUUUACUUUAUCAUAUUUGGUGAAAAAGAUUUGAUCAUAAUAGUUUUUAAUGUUGGAUGUUCAGUAAUCCACAGUUUGGCAUCUAGUGUUCUGACCAUAAAGGAAAGUUUAAAAACAUAAUUAACCGUCUGGUUUCUUCAACUUUCACACAAAAAUCUGCCUUUAAACUUGAAAGAACUAAUGAUUUGACAUUUAUCGUGAUAACUCUCGGUAUCGAAUGAUAUGAAAGGUUUUUAUCGUGAUAACUAUCGGUAUCGAAUGAUAUGAAAGGUUUUUAUCAUGAUAACCGUUUUGGCCGUAUCGCCCAGCCCUACUUUCACUCUGGGCCCAUGAAACCAGGCAGAGUCCUGCACCAGGAGGAACCCAGGGCCCACUGAGGAGUUCAUGCUGGUCCCUAACAGCAGUCAGGGUACCGAUUGUUAGCACCAGGUCUGUGGGACCCUCCAGGGAUAGAGGAUUACACCAUCACUGACCCACCACCUAACCGGUCCUGCUGGAUGACGUUGCAGAAGCGUAACGUUCAGCGCGGCGUCCCCAGACUCUUUCACGUCUGUCACACUUGACUUUACUUCUGACGCUGCUUUCAGUUCUUUCCUCCAGUUUAACUACUUUCAGCCUCUGUACAUCAGCUAACAAUCUGCUUUCACAGUUUAUUCAUCACAUCGUGAGACUCUUGGUGCUGCUGACAUUUCCACUGAUUCAGCUUCUCAAACUGAACUUUAACUAAAAUACUUGACACCUGUCAUUUCCAGCGUGAGCGAGCUUCAGCUUCCUCUUUCAUUUUGUCCUGUUUCUUAUGUUCUGUGAAUCUGAAACGGCUCGUCAGUCUGCACAGACACAAACCGAAGAAGAAGCAGCAGCAGCAGCAGCAGCGUCAGACUCACUCUUCAGCACUUUGACCGCCACCUUCUGGACAGACGAGUCUUGCGUCUUCAGGAAGGCCUCGCGCACGGAGCCGAACUCACCUGCACAGAACAAUCUUUACCAAUCUUUCAAAAAGUGUUUGGGACAUGUCCUCCGAGUCCCUGGUGUGAAGGACCGCCUCUCUUAUAUCACGGUAAACAAACUGCGCUCAGUAGAAGAGAAGACGGUCCAGCAGCAGCACAAACUGUCUCUGAAACUGUUUCAACACAAACUGAAGGAGGCAAAGAGAAGGACAGGAGCGCCACCUGCAUCUUAUCUAGGGAUGGGGAUCGUUCAUUUUUACUGAUGGCCUUAUUGAGACUGCUUAACGAUCCGAUUCUUUAUCGAUACUGUAUUAUUUGGUGAGACCAGCCCCAGCAGCCUGAGGCCGGCUGCAGGGCGUGAGGAAAAUAUUCAAUGUGCCAUAACGUUAUAAACUGAGAUGACAUCACUUGUGAUAAAUAAACAUAUACUGAAGUGUGCAUAUUAA